GAUGAUGAUGCCCCCUUUGUGCAUAUGUUCUGUACGUGUAUCUGGUGUGUGUUGUAUGAUCUUUGGUGAGUGUGUGUAUGUAUGUUUUGUAUGGUUUUCAAGAAGAUGACUCAUUUGAGGUAUGUGUGUGUGAUGAAAUUGUAUUUAAUUUCAAUUCAAUGAUGGAGCAACCACGGUGAAUAAAAUAAUAUGAACUAAAUAAAAGCCAAAUUUCAAGAAUUAAGAAUCAAGAUUUUAGUGAAAAAAUGGUGAAAAAAUGACGAAAAGAAUAAGAAUGGAGAAGAAAGUAAAUAAAAAUUAAUUUGUAGUAUUACCAGUGUUGUUUAAUGUUA
rnacentral:lncRNA from 1 species